rnacentral:misc_RNA from 1 species
GCAGAUAUUCCGACAUUUACAAUUUUGAUUGACGGAAGAUAUUGAGACCAAUGUCUUGCUGCAACCUUUUCAUCGUGAUCUGCGUGCUGGCCGCCUUCGGGGGCGGCAUGGGAGACGUGCAAGAGCACGUCUCCUUCAUGGAGAAGUGUGGUGCCCCCGUGGAGGGGGGCACAGGGGUGAUGGAGGUGGGUUCCGAGGGGGAACCCAUCUUGAUGGACUACUUGAUGCAUGAUAAAACGACCACUGAUAUGGAUGAUUCGAACGAAGUUACCUCAGACGAGACCAUGAGUGAUGAGAAUGUAACUAUUGUUGAAACAAAGGAACCGUUGAAUACAACCUCGGUAAAAGGCAUUGAAGGCAAAAAUGAAACAGUUCUGGAAACUACGAAAGAAGAGAACAUAACAUUAGAGAAAGCAAUUGAUAACAAGAACGGAACCAUUGUUGAAACUAAGGAAGAGAACAGAACUGUGGAAAAUCCUGUUGCCGAGAAUGAAAGCACUGUUAAAACCAUUGAGCACAGAAACAAAACGGUACAAACACCUGCUGGUGAUAAACAUGGGACAGAUAUUGAAGCCAGUAAAGAGCAGGAAAAUAAAAUUUUGGAUAAGAUGGUUGAAAAGAAGAGAAAUGAUUUGGAAACUAAAGAACAGGAAAACGAAAUCUUGCUAACAAUCCCUGUUGCUAAGAACGAAACAUUUCUGGAAACUAAAGAACAAGAAAACAAAACUGUGGAGAAAGCAGUUAUUGAUGAUAAGAACGAAACCAUCGUCGAAACUAAACAGCAAGACAACAAAACUGUGGAAAAGACCGAUGAUAGAAAUGGAACCAUUGUUGAAACUAAACACCUAGACAACAAAACUGUGGAAAAGACCGAUGAUAGAAAUGGAACCAUUAUUGAAACUAAACAGCAAGACAACAAAACUGUGGAAAAGACCGAUGAUAGAAAUGGAACCAUUAUUGAAACUAAACAGCAAGACAACAAAACUGUGGAAAAGACCGAUGAUAGAAAUGGAACCAUUAUUGAAACUAAACACCUAGACAACAAAACUGUGGAAAAGACCGAUGAUAGAAAUGGAACCAUUAUUGAAACUAAACAGCAAGACAACAAAACUGUGGAAAAGACCGAUGAUAGAAAUGGAACCAUUAUUGAAACUAAACACCAAGACAACAAAACUGUGGAGAAUAAAGUUGAAGAUAGGAACGGAACUAAUGUUGAAACGAAACACCAAGAGAAUAAAACUGAGGAGAAAAAAGUUGAUGAUAAGAACGGAACCAUUGUUACAGCUAAUCAGCAAGACAACAAAACUGUGGAAAAAGUUAUUGAUGACAAAAACAUAACCAUUGUAGAAGCGAAACAGCAAGACAACAGAACUGUGGAAAAUCCCACUGGUAAUAAGAUCGGAACCAUUGUCCAAACGAAACAAGAGGAGAAUAAAACUGUGGAAAAUGAAGUUGAUCAGAACGGAACCAUUGUGGAAAUGAAACAGCAAGACAACAGAACUGUAGAAAAAGCAGUUAUUGAUGACAAAAACGUAACCAUUGUGGAAACGAAACAAGAGGAGAAUAAAACUGUGGAAAAUCCCACUGGUAAUAAGAUCGGAACCAUUGUCCAAACGAAACAAGAGGAGAAUAAAACUGUGGAAAAUGAAGUUGAUCAGAACGGAACCAUUGUGGAAAUGAAACAGCAAGACAACAGAACUGUAGAAAAAGCAGUUAUUGAUGACAAAAACGUAACCAUUGUGGAAACGAAACAAGAGGAGAAUAAAACUGUGGAAAAUCCCACUGGUAAUAAGAUCGGAACCAUUGUCCAAACGAAACAUGAAGAGAAUAAAACUGUGGAAAAUUCCACUGGUGAUAAGAGCGGAGGAGAUAUUGAGAUUAGCAAAGAGGAAGAGAACAAGCCCUUGCUGCAAGGGGUGCACGAUAAGAUCGAAACGGAUGAAACAAUUAGUAAAGAGAUAGAAAACAAAACAUUUGAAAAAGCCGGUGCCAAAAACAACGAAACAUUUGAGGGAACUAAUGAGCAGGAAAACAAAAUGAUAUUUUCAAGGAACGAAACAGAUGCAGAAACUAAAGAACCACGUGAGGAAAUUGCGUUGCCACUAAUCCCAGGUGCUAAAAACGAAACAUUUGAGGGAACUAAUGAGCAUGAAAACAAAAUGAUAUUUUCAAGGAACGAAACAGAUGCAGAAACUAAAGAACCACAUAAGGAAAUUGCGUUGCCACUAAUCCCAGGUGCUAAAAACGAAACAUUUGAGGGAACUAAUGAGCAGGAAAACAAAAUGAUAUUUUCAAGGAACGAAACAAAUGCGGAAACUAAAGAACCACAUGAGGAAAUUGCGUUGCCACUAAUCCCAGGUGCUAAAAACGAAACAUUUGAGGGAACUAAUGAACAGGAAAACAAAAUGAUAUUUUCAAGGAACGAAACAGAUGCGGAAACUAAAGAACCACAUGAGGAAAUUGCGUUGCCACUAAUCCCAGGUGCUAAAAACGAAACAUUUGAGGGAACUAAUGAGCAGGAAAACAAAAUGAUAUUUUCAAGGAACGAAACGGAUGCAGAAACUAAAGAACCACAUGAAGAAAUUGCGUUGCCACUAAUCCCAGGUGCUAAAAACGAAACAUUUGAGGGAACUAAUGAGCAGGAAAACAAAAUGAUAUUUUCAAAGAACGAAACGGAUGCAGAAACUAAAGAACCACAUGAGGAAAUUGCGUUGCCACUAAUCCCAGGUGCUAAGAACGAAACUAAAGAGCAAGAAAACAAAACGGUAUUUUCGAGGAACGAAACGGUUGGCGAAACUAUAGAACCACACGAGGAAAUUUUACCACGAGCGAACAUAACUCACGAGAGCGAAACAGAAACUGAAGGAAACGAAAGCGAAAUUGUACAGAACAAAUCGAUGAAUCUAGAGACCACGAUAGCGGAAAUUGAAACGACCACGAUAGCGAUUGAGGAAAAAACGGAAAGUAUUCAGAAAUUAAAUGAAGAUCUCAGUAAACAAACAAUACUUCUGCAGAACCGAACAGAAGAUCUUGAGAAAAAAAUCAAAUGAAAUGAAAAACAAAAUACUAGAAGUGGAAAACAAAACGAUGCGAUUAGAAAAGGAAUCAGAUGCGAUGUUAAUGGAGAGUGUCAUAAUAGGACGAACGAUGCUGCGUGUGGAGACAGAAACCAAUGACAUUGAAAACAAAGCUGUGGGUUUGAAGGAGACGACCGAGAAUCUCCAGAACAAGACAGGAGACCUGCAGGAAGGAACUCAGAGUCUGCAGGCUCAGAUUGAAGCUCUACAGAACAAGAUGAUGCACUUAGAGAACAUGAUGGAAAAAAUCUUGAACAUGACAGUAGAAAUUGAAGACCAUACAUUAGGUCUGGAAAAAGAAACACUGGAUUUGGAGAAUAAGACAGUCGAAUUGGAAGACAAGGUGACUGGUAUUUAUAAUUGGACUCAACAGAUGCAGAAGCGAACGUCGCAACUGGAGAACAAGACUACUGGACUGCGGAGCAAGACAGUAGGCUUGCAAAACAAGGCAUCAGUCCUGAAAAAGAAAGCUUUUCCUGCAGAUGAUGAUGUGUUGUCUGCGAGGAAAAACAGUAGGCGUGUAAGACAACAACGCCGCCGGAAAACAAAACAACCCUACUACAACUGUGGAAAGACAAACUGCUGCAGUACAAUGUACAACUCAAGAAAGUACGAACUGUAACCGAAAGGGCAAUCCACAGUGGCGCUGCUGAGGCAGACAGAUGACAGAGAGGCCGAGGAGAUCUGAACGAAGGCUCCUCGUCCCUGUCAUGGAAAGGAAGGAUCUUUUCUUUACCUUACCUUUCCGAACUGAGUGACUUUUUCUCUAUGACUUUCUAAUAA